AUGGAGAUUGGCCGACGAGGGCUCUGCAACUCUGGCGAUACUGCCUUGAAGCUGUUCGGAAGCACCGUCAGUGUUGAAAUGGAGCAACGCGGGGCCGCCGGAAGCAGAGACGACGCUGCAGUGAAGCCUCGCCGGAGUUGCAAUGAAGCUUCACCGGACGCGUCGGUGUUGCGUUGGAGCUCCACAGUCGGCAUCGACGCCCGCUGCAUCGCAGCUCCGGCGACGUCGCGACCACUGCAUCUUACCUCCGGCAGCCGCUGCAUAGCAGCUCUGGCGGUGUCGCAGCCGCUACAGUGCAACUCCGGUGGCGUUGAUGAGCGCUGCAUCGCAGCUCUAGUAGCGUCGAUGCCCGCUGCAUCACAACUCCAAUGGUCGUUGCAUUACAGCUCCGGCGUCGUCGACGCCCGCUCCAUCACAGCUCCGACAGUCGAGCUGGUAGGUGUGCUUGGAGCGUGA
rnacentral:rRNA from 1 species